rnacentral:tRNA from 2 species
GGGAGUUUAGCUCAGCUGGGAGAGCGUCUGCCCUACAAGCAGAGGGUCACAGGUUCGAGCCCUGUAACUCCCACCA